rnacentral:lncRNA from 1 species
AGGUCGAUGUGUUGUAUUGGUGAAUCGGGGUUUUAAUGAAGUGGGUGUGAUUACUCUUGAUUAUUUUGUGAAAUCAAAGUUACGUCUGUGAUUGAAGAAUUAAAAGGGUGUCUAUAGGAUUGAGUAUGCAGAGUGAAUGAAAAUUUUUAGGUGAAUCUAACAAGACAGUCAGUGGAUACAAGGUCGUGAGUAUGAAGCGGUAUCGGAGAUUAGCAG